AUCCGGGGGCGGGGUGGAGGCGGGGAGAAGCCCCCACUGGGCACAGUGCCCCGGGGCUGGCUCUGUGGCUGAGCUUUGAUAUGGGGUGAGGGGGUUACUGCUGACAGCCGGGCUCCCUCACCCCCACCCAGGCUGCCCACGGACUGAACCACUAAUGACUCAGGCCCUGCCACCUGCUGGGAAGUCAGCUGGAAAGUUUUUUUCGUGAUUCAGGGAAUCCCCCGCUUACGGUUACCUUCAGAUAGAAAGUCUACCAGAUCCUUCUCCCCUGUGAUUGACAUUUCUCCAAACCAUAGACCAGGGAGGGGUGCUGAGGUCAGGGUCAGCGGGCCGAGGCACAGAGGUCUGGCCCUCAGUGCCCCUCCUGUGCUCUCUCUGACCUGUGCAGCGCCUCUGACCCCCAGAUCCCUCCACCCCACCUCCUGGCUAAGUGCUUAGUCUGUGGGGAGCCUGGCCCACAUUCCUGCCCAGCCACAGUGCCUGGGAAGGGAGACACAACAUGCAGCCGGCCUGGGGCCGGCCGGUCUGGGCAGGCUCAGUGGCACCCCCAUCUGUGAGCGGCCAGGCCCUGGUGGGAGAUGUGCCCUCGCGGUGGCCCAGCCCCGAUCAAAAGACCCCCAGGCUCAGGUCGGGAGCCCCUAGUCCCAGACGACACUCUCCUGGCUCAGCCACUCCCCAGCUAAGCCCAGAGCUCACCUCCCCCUCUUCCAGCUCGGCCGGGCUCAGCCCUCCCGGCUGCAGGGACCCCCUUUCUCCUAGGAACCGGGAGGGAACAGCCGCCUGGGACUUCCCUGGCCCCCUCCUGGGCCCAGCUGCAGCCACAACCGGCUCUGCCCCGCCGCUUGCUGGCGGCUGCCCGCACUGCGCCUCCGGGCACGGCUCCGGGGUCGCUCCCGGCCGCGCGCGGGCUCACCCCGACCCCCGGCCCGGCGCCCGCGCUCAGGGCUUGCUUCUCCGGCCAGGGCCGCCCGCGUCCCCCCACCGGCUCCUGGGGGCUCCUCGGGACCCCUGCGCGGCUCCGACUCCCUCGCCUCCAGCCCCUGCUCCCGCCAGAUGCACUGCACACCCGGGGCCUCGGUUUCCCCAGCAGGAAAGGAGCGUGCAGAGCCCAGAGAUGCGGAAAUCGAGGCACAACUGGGUUCGCUCUCAUGCUCCAGACGCCGCCCCCCAACGCACGCGGGGAUUCGCCCAAGCGGGCGGGCGUUUGCGACCCCGGGGAUCGCCACCGAGCCCCAGGGUCUCCUCCCGCGACCCCGCAGGGCAGGGCCUGCCCCGAAGGUGGUAGUAAAUGCGCCCGGUGUUAGAUCCACGGGAUAGAGUCGGCCCCCGCUGCCCUGCUCCAGACAACUUGUCCCCUCCCAGAGCCGACCAGCCCCACAACCUCUAAUGCGUUCUUCUGAAGACACCCUCGGUAUGACCAACACGGCAACACUUUCUCUGCCUUGUCUCCCUGCCCUUGUCUGUCACACGGUCCCCAGCCUUGGUUGGUGGCCGUACCGCCCAGGCUUCCCUGCAGCCAGGAGCUGCUGCUGGGCCCGGGAGAGGACAGAGAAAACAAUUUGCUUUUC
rnacentral:lncRNA from 1 species